UGAAUUGCAGAAUCCCGUGAACCAUCGAGUCUUUGAACGCAAGUUGCGCCUGAAGCCAUUAGGUUGAAGGCACGUCUGCCUGGGCGUCACGC
rnacentral:rRNA from 2 species